rnacentral:lncRNA from 1 species
GGUAUAGGUAACAUUAUAAAUUAUACGAAUAGAUAUUUGUGUAAAAAAAAAAAAAAAAAAAGAUUUAAAUAAGAAAAACUUAACAAAAUAUUAAAGACAACUAUAUAAUACAUGUUUCAUGAUGAUAAAAUUUAUGAAAUGGUGUAAUAGGUAUACAUAACAAGAAUAAAAUAAACAAUAAAUUUAAUUAUUUAGCUCUACAAAUAUUUAAAUAAUUUCCACAAAAAGUAUUUACAAAAAUAAAAAUAUUUAAAAAAAAAAAAAUGUAAUUUUGUCUAGGUACGAUUUGUUUUAAAAUAAGGUGCCGAUAAAAAAAAAAAAAAAAUACACCAUAACUCGGAUUUAAUAGUAUAUGUAUACAUAUAUAUUUUUUAUAAUUAUAAUUUAUAAUAUUAUUAGUUAUUAAUUAAUUAGUAUAUAUCUUAUACACAUAAUAUAUAUUAGAUAUAUACUAUAUUUUAUAAUAAAAUAAUACGAUCAACUACUUUAAUCGUAUUUUUCUUAACUGUAUAACUGUAUUAAGUACAUUCAUAAUAUAUUAUAUUUAUCAUACAAUAUUAUAAUAAUAACUGCGCAAAGCGUAAUAAUUAACAUUGAUUUAGUAUUUUCGUUUAUAUUUUUUACAAUAUUUAAAUUAUGUAGGUAUGUAAAAUAUGUUAAAAACAAAUACAAAUAUAUUAAAAACAGUAUUAAGAUAAUAAUAUUAGGUAUGUAAUAUGUUUAUACAAUAGAGAAAAAAAAAACAAUCAUAUACCUAUAAUACAGCGUAUAAGUCGUAAGGAGUAUUUAAUAAGUAUUGAAAGUUGUUGACGACUUAAUUUUCUAGAUAAAUUUGUUGAGUUUUAUAUCAUCCGAUAUUAAUCAAUAUCGAACAAAUAAUGAAACUUAUAGGCUUUCGUUUUCUUCCAGUGAGGUUUUAAAUAAAACGAUUUUAAAAAAUAUAUUAAUAUAUAAUUUUUCUUUUAUAAAACCACGGUUACAUACUUAUAUUAGUUCUUAUGAGAUAACCUAUGAUCAAGAAAAUUAUUAUAUUAUGUUGCAAAUCCAUGAGCUGUAUAUACGUAUGAUAUAGGUAUAGGUAGGCAUAGUUUGUUGGUCACCGUGCUAUAGUGUUCAUAAAAAAAAUAAACCUGAUAAUAUACGACGUAUAGAUAGUUAUUUUUCUAUAUUUAUUAAUGAUCAUGUUUGUUAUAUUUUUAUUUAUACGACAUAAUUAUAAUUUAUACAUUUGUUUUAUUCAAUGCGUAGGUAGGUACAAAAUUAUAUGCACUUUAGUUCUUUUCGGGUUGUUGAAUAUAAGAUAUGUAAUACAAGUAACGUGUGGAAAUCACGUUUUACAUACCUACAGUUUUACUACUAUUAUGAGAGUCAGAUAGCGAAUAGACAUAUAUGAGGAAAUAUAUUAUAGGUUGGUGUACAAAAUACACGACUAUAAUAUAGUCAGCUGUCAUCGCUGUAUGCGGCGUUGCCCGGGUUAGGUUAUGUUCGGUUAUUCAAAAACAAACAGAAAUCAAUAAAAACAAAAUUCAAUUUUACACGGAUAUCAUUUUUCAACCCACUCCCACUAAAGUUACCCUAUGUUAAGUUAUCUGUCGCAACUCGGUUAUUUAUUUAUCUUGAUUUUCUAUGCACGAUAAUAACGAAUCGAGAUUAAUUG